AGAGUUUGAUCAUGGCUCAGAUUGAACGCUGGCGGCAGGCCUAACACAUGCAAGUCGAGCGGUAGCACAGAGAGCUUGCUCUCGGGUGACGAGCGGCGGACGGGUGAGUAAUGUCUGGGAAACUGCCUGAUGGAGGGGGAUAACUACUGGAAACGGUAGCUAAUACCGCAUAACGUCGCAAGACCAAAGUGGGGGACCUUCGGGCCUCAUGCCAUCAGAUGUGCCCAGAUGGGAUUAGCUGGUAGGUGGGGUAACGGCUCACCUAGGCGACGAUCCCUAGCUGGUCUGAGAGGAUGACCAGCCACACUGGAACUGAGACACGGUCCAGACUCCUACGGGAGGCAGCAGUGGGGAAUAUUGCACAAUGGGCGCAAGCCUGAUGCAGCCAUGCCGCGUGUGUGAAGAAGGCCUUCGGGUUGUAAAGCACUUUCAGCGGGGAGGAAGGCGUUAAGGUUAAUAACCUUGGCGAUUGACGUUACCCGCAGAAGAAGCACCGGCUAACUCCGUGCCAGCAGCCGCGGUAAUACGGAGGGUGCAAGCGUUAAUCGGAAUUACUGGGCGUAAAGCGCACGCAGGCGGUCUGUCAAGUCGGAUGUGAAAUCCCCGGGCUCAACCUGGGAACUGCAUUCGAAACUGGCAGGCUAGAGUCUUGUAGAGGGGGGUAGAAUUCCAGGUGUAGCGGUGAAAUGCGUAGAGAUCUGGAGGAAUACCGGUGGCGAAGGCGGCCCCCUGGACAAAGACUGACGCUCAGGUGCGAAAGCGUGGGGAGCAAACAGGAUUAGAUACCCUGGUAGUCCACGCCGUAAACGAUGUCGAUUUGGAGGUUGUGCCCUUGAGGCGUGGCUUCCGGAGCUAACGCGUUAAAUCGACCGCCUGGGGAGUACGGCCGCAAGGUUAAAACUCAAAUGAAUUGACGGGGGCCCGCACAAGCGGUGGAGCAUGUGGUUUAAUUCGAUGCAACGCGAAGAACCUUACCUGGUCUUGACAUCCACAGAACUUUCCAGAGAUGGAUUGGUGCCUUCGGGAACUGUGAGACAGGUGCUGCAUGGCUGUCGUCAGCUCGUGUUGUGAAAUGUUGGGUUAAGUCCCGCAACGAGCGCAACCCUUAUCCUUUGUUGCCAGCGGUCCGGCCGGGAACUCAAAGGAGACUGCCAGUGAUAAACUGGAGGAAGGUGGGGAUGACGUCAAGUCAUCAUGGCCCUUACGACCAGGGCUACACACGUGCUACAAUGGCAUAUACAAAGAGAAGCGACCUCGCGAGAGCAAGCGGACCUCAUAAAGUAUGUCGUAGUCCGGAUUGGAGUCUGCAACUCGACUCCAUGAAGUCGGAAUCGCUAGUAAUCGUAGAUCAGAAUGCUACGGUGAAUACGUUCCCGGGCCUUGUACACACCGCCCGUCACACCAUGGGAGUGGGUUGCAAAAGAAGUAGGUAGCUUAACCUUCGGGAGGGCGCUUACCACUUUGUGAUUCAUGACUGGGGUGAAGUCGUAACAAGGUAACCGUAGGGGAACCUGCGGUUGGAUCACCU
rnacentral:rRNA from 1 species